rnacentral:rRNA from 1 species
GACGAACGCUGGCGGCGUGCUUAACACAUGCAAGUCGAACGGAAAGGCCCUGCUUUUGUGGGGUGCUCGAGUGGCGAACGGGUGAGUAACACGUGAGUAACCUGCCCUUGACUUUGGGAUAACUUCAGGAAACUGGGGCUAAUACCGGAUAGGAGCUCCUGCUGCAUGGUGGGGGUUGGAAAGUUUCGGCGGUUGGGGAUGGACUCGCGGCUUAUCAGCUUGUUGGUGGGGUAGUGGCUUACCAAGGCUUUGACGGGUAGCCGGCCUGAGAGGGUGACCGGCAACAUUGGGACUGGGAUACGGCCCAGACUACUACGGGAGGCAGCAGUGGGGAAUAUUGCACAAUGGGCGGAAGCCUGAUGCAGCAACGCCGCGUGCGGGAUGACGGCCUUCGGGUUGUAAACCGCUUUCGCCUGUGACGAAGCGUGAGUGACGGUAAUGGGUAAAGAAGCACCGGCUAACUACGUG